rnacentral:lncRNA from 1 species
AGUCAAAUGGAAAAUAUUAAUUACAAUAGCUAUUUGGUAGAGCCAAUAGCUUGCUUUGUGUCCCCUACUAAAAUGAUAAUGCUAAAAGGACAAGGCUCUAAGUUUGAAGCAAUGAGACCUAAUUUUUGACCAAGCUACUUACUAGUCAUAAUUGAUUGAACACUAAAAUCUAUUAUAAUAUAUGAAAAUAUAAUACAAAUUAUAUUACCACCAAUAUGAGUAAAAAUAAUCAUUUUAUUAUUAUUAAUUGGCCUUAUAAAUCUUAAAUACAAGUUUUGACUUAAAUGCUCCAUAUAAUCUUUACUUCACAAAUGCAAAAUGUCAAUGGCUUCUUUGAACUACUUCUACAUAAAAAUGACUCAAAAAUGGUUAAAUUUGGACUCCACAUGCUCUUGAAGUGAACUUCCAAACAUAACACUUAAAUUUUUUGGAAAAAUGUGGUUUAAAAAAAAAUUAAAAAUUAAAGAAAAAAAAAAAAAAAAAAAAAAAAAAAGUAAUUGCAUGUUGUUGCAAGGUCUAAUCACCGUGGGGGCCCUGUCACUGGAAGUUCCUGUAUUUGCAUGACCCUGUUACCAUGCUAGGCUUAUAUCGGCACGCUUGUCCUUAUCACCGAGUGACGCAAGGUGUUGCAAAUUCCCGUUGCUUACCACCGGAAGUCGCUGACUGCAGCAGCAAGUGGCAAACUCUCUGUGCUCCCCCGCUCCACUUUGACAACAAAGAAUUCAGUGAGUGGCCGGAGCAAUGGCGAUGCAGACAAGAUCGGCGAUGCGUAAGGACACAAGAGCGCAAGACUGAUGAAACCUUUCACAGCAACGGCUCUACUUUUCCCGCAACCUAGCACUGAAAACCAAAAAACAAAAAAUAACUAAAUAUCCAAUCAACAGCAAGGCCGCUCCAGAAAACCACUGCACCGCAAACAGCUCUCUUCUGUCGCACCAAAACCCUGAGCCAUAGUCCCGGCGCCUCGACUCUGACCUUGAGCUCCGCCUCCGCGCUUGCCUUACUGCGUCGCACCUGACCAGAUCCCC